rnacentral:misc_RNA from 1 species
GGAAGCUAUGGCGAUCCUUCGAUUAGCCCUAGUUUUCUCUAUAUUGACCUCAUUUUCGUUACUCGCCGGAUCUUCACCGUCCCCUUCAACGGAGUUGCAGAUCGUCACCGCCGAACGCAGAAUUGACUUGACAUCACACAUUGUGAAGGUGUUCUUGACAUUGAAGGUUGAAAAUAUUGGUGAAUCUCCUGCUUCAGAAGUCCUUCUUGCCUUCUCUCCCACAGAAGCUGAUCGUCUGGCAGUGGUAAAAGCAGCCGCUUCUGCUGGAAAGAAGAAAAAGAAAUCUUAUGUGCCUCUAGAUGUGAAGCCAACUGACCUGCCUGAUGGACCAAAUGGAACUAAGUAUUAUUUAAUACAUUUGCUUAAGCCAUUGGGUAAAGGUGAAGCCAUCUCGCUAGAAGUUCUUUAUAUAUUGACACAUUCUCUUGAGCCUUUCCCAGUAGAAAUAAGCCAGUCGGAGUCUCAAUUAGUUUAUUACCGUGACAGUGCAAAAAUCUUGUCACCUUAUCCUAUUAAACAACAAGCUACGUUCCUAAAAACACCAACUAGCAGGGUCGAGUCGUUCACAAGAGUUGUGCCUACAGAUCGUGCAAACACAGAACUAAGAUAUGGACCAUAUGAGGAGCAACCUUCAUUUUCAUAUUCACCUAUAAUUGUCCAUUUUGAAAACAAUAAGGCGUUUGCUGUGGUUGAGGAGCUUGUGCGCGAAAUUGAAAUCUCCCACUGGGGAAGCAUACAGGUUACCGAACAUUACAAAUUGGUACAUGCUGGUGCUCGGCAUAAAGGUGCUUUCUCGAGGGUUGAAUAUCAGUCUAGGCCAAACAGUGGUGCUUCCUCAUUCAAGAAUCUUCUUGCAGAAUUGCCACCAAGGGUCCAUUCUGUCUACUACAGGGAUAACAUAGGGAACAUUUCGUCCUCUCGCUUGCGCACAAAUUUUAAGAAGUCAGAGCUGUUAAUAGAACCACGGUAUCCUUUAUUUGGAGGCUGGAAAUCUACUUUUGUCAUUGGAUAUGGGGUUCCACUAGAGGACUUCCUUUUUGAGGCAGCUGAUGGCACACGUUACCUGAAUUACAGUUUUGGAUGUCCGCUUGCAGAAACUGUUGUUGACAAGUUGACUGUCAAAGUUGUGCUGCCAGAAGGAUCAAAGAACCCAUCCACUGUGGUUCCUUUUCCUGUGGAACAACGGACUGAGAGGAAAUACUCAUAUCUUGAUGUUGUGGGAAGGACAGUGGUGGUCCUGGAGAAAUCCAAUGUAGUUCCUGAGCACAACUCCCCUUUCCAGGUCUAUUACCAAUUCAGCCCCAUUUACAUGCUUGCAGAGCCAUUGAUGUUGACUUCUGUCUUCUUCCUUUUCUUUAUGGCUUGUGUGACUUAUCUACAUUUAGACUUUUCAAUUAGCAAGAUCAAGCAAACAUGAGUUUUGACACUAUUGAGAGAACUUUUGACUGUGAGAUUAAAUAUUAGUAGAAGCAGCUGCAACUUCCAGUCAACCAAAGGUAGAAGACAUUGUAUGAAUUGUAAUCAACUAAAUUGGAUUUUGAGAACAUCUAUUGUUGUUUACCUUUAGAUCAUGUCUUCUUACAACUACUGUAUUGGUCUUGCAUCUGAGAGAUGGUAUGCAGAGAACUGCUUACAGGUUCGUCUUUUCGUCUAAUAUAUAUAGAUUUGACGAUCAAAUGUCU